GAACUACAAGUGAAAAACUUCAAACUUAAAGGACUUGACGGUAUCCCAAACCGACCUAGAGGAGCCUGUCCUAUAAUCGAUACCCCCCGCUCCACCCAACCUCAACUAGCACAAUAUCAGCCUAUAUACCGCCGUCGACAGCCUACCCUAUGAAGGUCCAACAGUAGACAUAAUAGCCCCCCACUAACACGUCAGGUCAAGGUGUAGCAAAUGUUGAGGAAGAGAUUGGCUACAUUUUUUAUGAUAAAAAAAACGAAAAGUAUUAUGAAACAGUACAUGAAGGUGAAUUUAGUAGUAAAAUAAACAAGAGUGUUUAUUUUAACACCGCUCUGGGAUGCGUACACACCGCCCG
rnacentral:rRNA from 1 species